GAUGAACGCUGGCGGUAUGCUUAACACAUGCAAGUCGAACGGACUCUUCGGAGUUAGUGGCGGACGGGUGAGUAACGCGUGAGAAUCUGGCUUUGGGUUCGGGACAACCACUGGAAACGGUGGCUAAUACCGGAUGUACCGAGAGGUAAAAGAGAAAUUGCCUGAAGAUGAGCUCGCGUCUGAUUAGCUAGUUGGUGAGGUAAAGGCUCACCAAGGCAGCGAUCAGUAGCUGGUCUGAGAGGAUGACCAGCCACACUGGGACUGAGACACGGCCCAGACUCCUACGGGAGGCAGCAGUGGGGAAUUUUCCGCAAUGGGCGAAAGCCUGACGGAGCAAUACCGCGUGAGGGAAGAAGGCUCUUGGGUUGUAAACCUCUUUUCUUAGGGAAGAACAAAAUGACGGUACCUAAGGAAUCAGCAUCGGCUAACUCCGUG
rnacentral:rRNA from 1 species